CUACGUGCCAGCAGCCGCGGUAAUACGUAGGUCCCGAGCGUUGUCCGGAUUUAUUGGGCGUAAAGCGAGCGCAGGCGGUUAGAUAAGUCUGAAGUUAAAGGCUGUGGCUUAACCAUAGUACGCUUUGGAAACUGUUUAACUUGAGUGCAAGAGGGGAGAGUGGAAUUCCAUGUGUAGCGGUGAAAUGCGUAGAUAUAUGGAGGAACACCGGUGGCGAAAGCGGCUCUCUGGCUUGUAACUGACGCUGAGGCUCGGAAGCGUGGGGAGCGAACAGGAUUAGAUACCCUGGUAGUCCACGCCGUAAACGAUGAGUGCUAGGUGUUAGGUCCUUUCCGGGACUUAGUGCCGCAGCUAACGCAUUAAGCACUCCGCCUGGGGAGUACGACCGCAAGGUUGAAACUCAAAGGAAUUGACGGGGGCCCGCACAAGCGGUGGAGCAUGUGGUUUAAUUCGAAGCAACGCGAAGAACCUUACCAGGUCUUGACAUCCCGAUGCCCGCUCUAGAGAUAG
rnacentral:rRNA from 1 species